AGCCGAGGGGCCGCUCCUUCCCGCCCCGCUCCUUCCCGCCCCGCUCCCCGGCACCGCCCGGGCUGAGGGGCCGAGCCGAGGGGCCGCUCCUUCCCACCCUGCUCCCCGCCACAGCCCGGGCUGAGGGGCCGCUCCGGCACCGCCUCGCUCCCCGGCACCGCCCGGGCUGAGGGACCGAGGGACCGCUUCUUCCCGCCCCGCUCCCCGGUACCGUCCGGGCUGAGGGGCCGCUCCGGCCCCCCUCGCUCCCCGGCCCCCCUCGCUCCCCGUCCCCGCGGCUCGCCCGGCGCCUCGGGCAGCACAAUAACGUGAGCAGAAAGGCAGCGAGUGACACGUGUUGGGACGAAAAAGCACCAGCACGGAUUCCUUCCUCAGUAACAUUCAAAACCACGCUGUCUCCUUGAGGGAGGACCCCUCGGCUUUUCGGGUUUUCUUCCAGUACGAUUCCACACCCUUCAGCGCUGAGGACACCGGCUGAUCUGAACUGAAAGAGGACAGCCACAGCAGCCCUUACCUGCAUCUCUCUGCUCUGUCCAGCGCUCAGAUACACCAGCAGCAGCUUUGGCAUCUCCCCAGGGAAUGGGCACAGCCCCGAGGCUGCCGCAGCUCCAGGAGCCCUUGGGCAGCGCUCCGGGGAUCCACAGGCUGGGGUGGCUGGGCAGGGACAGGAGCUGGACUCGAUCAUGCUUGUGGAUCCCUUCCAACUCAGGAUAUUCAAUGAUUCUUCCUUCUGCCCUACCAAUUUUCAGCUUUUGUACCAUUUACAAAACUGAUAAAGCCUCACACAGCAGCCUGAAAACGAACCUGGAUGCUCUGAGUUUCUGUGCUCCCACCGUGGUUAAAUGCUUGUUUUCAGCUGAAAGCUGUAACUUAUUGCUCACAUGUUCAUGCAGUAAUUUCGUAAAUUCAUAUGCAUAAGCUGGAGUGACUUAGGAACCAUGGUAAAUGAAGGUGAAACAAUUAGCAGUCCUGCAGGAGAUGUCCCUUUCACUCCAUGUGCUAUAAACACUGGAAGGAAUACCAUAUUGAAGGUAAUUGACAGGGCUGAAUAUCAGCUUGAAUUGUGAUUUAGAGUCUGCUUUGGACUGCUUGACUAUGCUGAUGAACUGAAGUGAUAUAUAAUUAAAGGAAAAAAUAGUAGAAAUGCUACUCUCUGAUAUGAUCUGAGGAAAGAAAUGGUAUUGCUCAGGCUUGCAGGGUUUUUGGAUUUAGGAAUAUCUCAUAAAAAUGGCAAAUGUCUGUAGCAAGGGUGCUUGGUUGCCAUAGUGUUCUAUGUUCUUAAUUUGCAUUGAAAAAAUUAGAACAUAAGUUUCUUUAAAUAAAACUCAGGUUUGGUUUUGACUUUGCUGAUUGUAGGUGAGUAAAGUUUAGUCCUGUGCCAGAGGAAAUCCUUACCUGUAGUUAUAAGAAAACAAGUCUAAUUCCAGCUAUUGUAUUAAGGUGCAGCUGUAGGUUAAAAUAUAGCAGAUCCUGUAUUUAGAUUUUUUUUUUCAAGGAACAAUCUUAUCUGCUGACUUGUACAGUCAGCAACUCUGGUUUUCUGUGGAAAUACAUUCUUGAACUCAUUUCUGUGUUCUUGUUUAGGCCAGACUGCACUAUUUGGGGUUUCCUUCUUUCCCAUGGAACAUUAUUUUUCCCCCUGCUUGUUCGUUUGGACAACUGGCCGUGGCUACUUUGGGGCAAUUUAAACAUCUGCUUCCAGAGGCUGCAAACAGCUGCCCCUCAUCCUCACUGCCUUCACAGAAGGUGCUGUCAUGGAUUACUUUCCAUGACCUCACUGAUAUUCAUGAAAUUCUGAUGCUUUGUAAACAUUUCUUGUUAUGGGGACGCAGAAAGAUCAGAAACACCAAAUAAGCCAGGUAUCCCUAAGAAAGCAAGUUAAAAGUUGGACUAAUGUUUCUAAUAAAUAGCUAAUCCUUUAGUCAAAAGGCUGACCAGCAAAAAUUUGAAUCCAAAGAAAAGUGGUGAACUACUACUAAAAGUACUCUCCUAGUCUUCAGAAGCAAUAAAGAGACUCAACCUACAGAGUCUAAUCUGAUACAGAUUAGAAAACAGCAAGAAAUACAAACCCUUUGGAAACUUUUGGGCAUGCAGAGGAAGGUGGGUCCUUUGAACAAACUGUCUCUCCAGCCCAUCUCAGUGAACACAGACUGAAUUUUGUGCUUUUUGCACAAAAAGCUCUACAGUCUAAUAACCAGCUUUUGGAAAGGAAACAGCACCAGGCCACAAAACAUUUUCCUGCUGAGCACUUUCAAGAAUGUUCCCUGUUUGCUGGCUGUAUCCUGCCCUGUGAAUAAUGACAGACAUUUCUUCUGCUGUAUAAGAAAUUUUGCAUUUUCACAAAAGGCAAAUUGGCACUGCAGAUGCAGGAGUCUCUUACUAUAAACAAACAAAAGCCACAAACAAAUAGAAAAAUGAAGGAGGCUCUAGGUCUGUUAGAGCAAGUGCAUUUUCUAGUUUGGUUACAGCUGCUUCCAGUCUGAUCUUCCUAAGUAAUCUAAACCAAAACCUCAAAGGCUAGGAAAGAAGGCAAGAAACAUCAAUGAACAGAGGUAAACACCAUGAACAAUUGUAGGAAAGGUGCCAUUCCAGCUCUCCAGCUUCAUUUAGCCUUUGCUGUUGCAGCAGAGGCUUGGCAGUGUCUGGAGCUGAAGGGGUUAAUCCGAAGACCCAGUUUAAGUCAAAGUAAUUGCACUGGUGCAAAGGUCUUUCCAGUUGCUGUAAUAGGAUCUGAAUGCCACAUGGAUCAUUUUUAUUGGAUGGUGCUUAAAAAUUUGUUUAAGUUAAAAAAAUGUUCAUUAAGGUUCUGUGCCACUUGAAAAGUAAAUUUACAUUUCUUGGGGUCAGUCCAAGACCAACUUCAAGUCCAGGAAAGUCUUGUGGCUUGGGAAGAAGUGUUCAUGUGUAAAAAGUGAUUCUAUUCCUUUCCUCUGCUCCUUCCACCUUCUCCUCCUCCAACAGACAAGAAGGGUGAGCUGGCUCCUAAAUUGCUGUAUUUAAUAUUCCACUGUGUUGAUAUGAAAUGAAAUUAUUUGCAUUACUAUGUUGCUGUUCACAACCUGGAGUAAGGUGCUGAAAUUUUACUACAUUUCAAAUGCAGUGCAGGUAGCAACAUAAAUGGAACAUCAGAGGAGUGAAAGUUCCCUGCCUUACAGCUGAGCAAGUUGGAAAUAGUUCUGUGCAAGUCAGGUUUCAUCCUCUGCUGUUCUUUCCUCAGGGUAAGUGAGAAAAAGUGUGAGACCCUGCUCUCCCAGGCAGAGCAGAGAGUGAUGCUCAGUGCUGUUACUAAAUGGCUGCUUCUGCAGGCAGAGGAAUUCAGAGGAAAGCAGCUACACUGAUGUUUAAGAUAACACCCCAUUUUCUUCAGGCUUAUCUCUGUUUUUUCCUGAAAUGCUCCCUUUUUUUAUCUUUCUGACCUUUGAACUCUGCCAAAAGCACUAUCUGGUAUUGAGGUACCUUGCAAAACUUUUCCCCAAUUCUUGUAUUUGGAUUAAUUUAUCCUUAUCAUGAAACAUGUUGUUAUAAAUCUGCUAUAUCAUAGCAACUGUAUGAUGGAAACUGCCUAAAAAUGUUUUCUGCUUGCAAGAGAUUGGGUAAAAACCCCAAAGUUGAACUGUAACAGGAGCUAUUAAUGUUUAAAAGCUAAAGUUAAGAGUGUGCAGUUCACCAAGCAGAGGAUCUCUCUGCUCAGCAGUGAAACGAGGAACAAAAAAUUGUAACUGGUUUAUUGAAUUUCUUUUAUCAGAUGGAUUUUUACCUGAGGGAGUUUCAAUGACUACAUAAACAGAGCCAGCAAGAGGUUUACAAUGACAAUCACUCAUAUCUUUACUUUAUUUAGAGUUAAAUUCUCUCCUCUGUUGUAUUUUGACUGAAUUUCCCUUAACAAUUGUUUUAAGCAUUGUGGCAAGAAAGGGAAGGAGAGCCACUAGAUGGCAUUUUUAAUCCAGCUUUUCCUGCUGCACAAGUUCAGUCACUGUCCUGAAUGUGAGGCCUCUGCUCUCUCCCUCAGGACUGCUGCAAUCCCAGAAGAAGGUAAGUGAAUUCUUGCUGGAAUAAUUACAGUCAACUCCCAUUUCUCCUUCAACACAACAAUUUGGUAAAAGAUAAGGGUAGCUCAUGUUUUAGAAUCAUUUAAUCUCAAAAUAAAUGAAGUGCAUUAAACCAAUACAAUAUUUUUGGGUUUCUAUUGGGGGAUCAGGGUCUCAAGAAAUAAAGAAUAUAAAAGUCUUCCUUUUGUAUUUUACCUCUCCAUGGUAAAAAAUAGAUCAUGUUCUUCCAUCCAACAACUGGAAAAAGAAAUCCCAAACAACACUCUAAGCAAAAUCAAAUUUAUUUCUGCAGGAAGGUACAGUUCAGUUUCUCCCUGGAACUGAACACCUUGGGGCAAUGCAGCAUUUAAAGCUCUUUGUAAUGGCUGAGCCUUUACAAAAGCCAGGCAGACAGAACACGCCGUGUGAGGCCCAGAACUGAAGGAGCUGGGAAUUGACUAUGGGCAGUCACAGAGAACAUCACAGUAUUGAGU